GUCAGGAUGGCCGAGUGAUCUAAGGCGCCAGACUCAAGAUCUAAGGCGUGGGUUCAAAUCCCACUUCUGACA